rnacentral:rRNA from 1 species
UACGUAGGGGCGAGCGUUGUCCGGAAUUACUGGGCGUAAAGGGUGCGUAGGCGGCCUGAUAAGUCAGAUGUGAAAUACCAGGGCUCAACCCUGGGGUGCAUUUGAAACUGUUGGGCUUGAGUGCAGGAGAGGAAAGUGGAAUUCCUAGUGUAGCGGUGAAAUGCGUAGAGAUAUGGAGGAACACCAGUGGCGAAGGCGGCUUCCCGGUCUGUAACUGACACUGAGGCGCGAAAGCGUGGGGAGCGAACAGGAUUAGAUACCCUGGUAGU